ensembl:lncRNA
AUUGGCCUUGAGAUUCAUCUGCCUCUGCUUCCUGGGUGCUGGGAUUAAAGGCUGAACCACCACUGCCCAGCUCAGCCUGCUUUCUUAAUGAACCCAGUGAUGGCCCCACCCACAAUGGGCUGUCUUCCUUCCCCUACCUCCAUCAAUCAAUAAGAAAAUAGGCUUGCCUACAGUCCAAUAUUUAUUGGACUGUAUUGGACUGGGGGCAUUUUCUUGGUUGAGGCUCCCUCAGCUCCUAUAGCUCCUCAGUUUUUGUCAAGUUGACAUAAACUAGGCAGCACACACAUUCUUAACAAAAUGGGACACAAACGUGUCAGUUAUAAUCCUCGUUUCUACAGCUGGUCAUGUGGCCUUAGCUGUUAUUUGUAACCACCUUCCUCUACUACCCAUUGUGUAUCUCCUCCAUCCUCAGCCAGCACUUAAGUAGAUCUUGAUUCUUUUCCUGGAGGAGUGAUCCACACCUACAUUGCCCUGCCUGGGUUAGGCUGAAGUUUCCCAUUGGAUUUAAUUACAGGACAUGGUAGCACCAAGAGAUACCCUGAAAGAUCUCCUGCACUACAGGCGUAACUUUUUAUACCUCCCUUGUGGAGAGCAGUCCAGUUCAUAGUAAUCUUAACCUGAUGGUGUAAGGACAUCCAAAGUGGCCAGGUGGGAGUCUGAGCUUCCAGUUCACUGGAAUAUUGAUCCUCCUGACAGAAGUGUUUCAGAGGAUAGGGAGUGAUAAUGGAACCACCCUUGGGCCUGGCUGUAGGAGAAACUACCAUAUAUUGGACACUGAUUCAGAGUAUUCAUACAUUGCCUUCUGGAGAACCCCGCCUCAGCCCUGCAUGCUACUGCCAACUCCCUGGCACUGUAAUUGUCUCCAAAAGGCCAUUUCAUCUUUCUAUCAGACCAGCUGCUUCAGGAGGUAGCAACAUGGUAAGACCAGUGGAUCCAUGAUCGUGAGUCCACUGUUGCACUCCUCUGGCUAUGAAUUAAGUUCCGUGGUCAGAAGUACUGCUGUGUGGAAUACCAUGUUGGUGACAAGUCCACAGAUGGUAGUUUUGGCAAAAGCAUGUGCAGGAAAGGCAAAUCCAUAAUCAGAACAAGUAUCUCCUCCAAUAAGGACAAAGUGUUCUCCUUUCCAUGGAGGAAGGGGUCUGUUGUCAGCCUGCCACGAGGUCCUAGCCCUGCAGGGCAGUUUCAGUGAGUGCAGUCACUGUGGUUGAGCCCACAUAAAACCUCCACCUCUGCCACUAUGGCCACUUAGUUAGGUGCACAUUGGCAGUGGCAGAUCCUGUCCCUGGGAAAGAGGCUGCCUGUCCACAGAACUGGCCAUUCUCUCUAGUUGAUUGUUGAGCUCCCACUUUGCUGAAUUCACCUUUGUUUUCUUUUUUAUUGUUGUUUCUGUUUUUCAAGACAGGAGUAUCUUCACAUCCUUCGUCCAUUUGGAAAGGCAAUAUUUCAGGUUGUGGUGGUAAAAGUUAAUCUUCUACUGAGGGUGGAGAGACUACUUCCUCAGGAUCUGAACUCAGUUCUCAGGACCCACGUUGGAUAUCUCAGAACUGUGAUUCCAGCCCAGGGGAUCUGAUGCCCUCUUCUGGCCUCCAUGACACUGACACUACAUACAUAUAUACACAUAAAUAAAAUAAAAUAAAAUAAAAGUGAGUUGCAUGA